GCCAGACACGGUGGCGCGUAUCUGUAGACCCAGCUACUCGGGAGGCUAAAGUGGGAGGAUCACUUGAGCCCAGGAGUUCUGGGCUGUAGUGCUCUAUGCCGAUCGGGUGUCCACACUAAGUUCGGCAUCAAUAUGGUGACCUCCCAGGAGCAGGGGACCACCACAUUGCCUAAGGAGGGGUGAACCGGCCCAGGUCAGAAACGGAGCAGGCCAAAACCCCCGUGCUGAUCAGUAGUGGGAUCGCACCUGUGAAUAGCCACUGCACUCCAGCCUGGGCAACAUAUCGAGACCCCAUCUCA
rnacentral:SRP_RNA from 1 species